rnacentral:lncRNA from 1 species
AAUAAUAAUAAUUCAAUUAAUAAUAACAUAAUGAAAACCUUAUUACAAUCUGAUCUGAACACACUUAAAAAGAAAUAAAAACUUAAAUGCUUAAAAAAACCAAGUUCGAAUUAUCUUGCUAGCCGGCCACCCAGAGUCCCUCCAAACAUCGAACCUUCUACUGAGCAUCAGCUGCAAAUAAAAUAAAAGAGGGGGUGAGUUUUCACAAACUCAGUGUGUACAACCCUCGAUGAAAAACAAGCAUUCAAAGAGAAAUCAUC